GGACAAUUAAGAGCAGGGCUGAUUGAGACUAACUUUAGAGAUGGCCCCUUGCAGGUGUGGGGCUGCUCCCUCUGCUCCCUCGGCCCAAUCACGGAGGCAGAGGGGAGAUAAGAGCAGGGUUUGAGGUUUGGCUGCUUUGCCCUUUUCUCCUCGUGUCCUUCCAGGAGGGAUUGGGAUGAGCCGAGCAGUGCAGCCACUCUUUGGGGAGCGGAGGUUACAAACAAAGGGAAGCAUCAGCAUUAAAAGAAAAGGGAGACAACAACAACAAAAAAAAAAAAAAAAAGGAGGAGGAAAGCAAACGAACAAAAACCCCGAACCGAACCCAACGCGACGUCCUCAGCUCCACGCAGCGCCGAUCCCGUGAAGUUGGAGCGGGCAGAAACACGCACACGGGGGGGGGGACGACGACCAGAAAACCCACCUUUUUACAACAAAAGGUUUUUCUUUCCGAAAAGGGAAAAAUAGAAGAAACGCUCUUAGGAAACGAACGGGACUGCGGGAGCCGAACCUCCUCCCAAAGCACGCCGGGUUUGCGGGGUUGGAAGGCCGACGCCAGAAGAGUUGAAGUUAAGGAAAGCAGCGGGGAGGGGGCGGCCCCGCUUUUCGCUCCCCCCGCUCGUGUGACCCCCAUAACCCCGCAGCAGCGCCGGGGAGGGGUUGAAGUCACACCGCACGCGUUUCUAUGGGGGAAGGGGGGGGAAGAAAACAAAGUUGAAAUGUUUUCAUUUCUACCUCUUUUCUUUUUUUCCUCCCCGUACAUCGCAAAGAGGCGCACAAAGCGGAGCUGCCGGGGGGUCCCGGAGUGGCCCCCGCCGCCGCCCGGCUCUCACGUGGCCCCGCGGCCGCCCCGGGCGGACACAAAGAGGAUUCGUCGUGGAGGUGUUUCGGGGGGUGCCAUUUUUCUGGUUGGUUUUUAAUUAUGAUCUCUUCCCCCCCCCCCCCCCCCCUCCCGGUUUGUUUGCUUAAUUAUUAUUAAUUUGUUUUUUUUUCCCUCUCUCUCUCUCUGCAAAAAUAAACUCCCAACAUCUUAGAUUUUGUUUCUUUAUUGUACAAUUUAUAAAACAUCGCGCUGCCCUCCCG
rnacentral:lncRNA from 1 species